rnacentral:lncRNA from 1 species
AUCUACCCCAUCUAUUACCUUUUGGAGGGUUGUGCCUCCUAGAUUGGUUAGGUGUCUCUUGGGAGCCUCCUACUUCGUGUUGUGGAGUUGAACCAAGAUGUUUGUAAGGGCAAGGAGAUCGCCUACUUCGUGAAGAUAUACCGUGUGUAUGCCUAGUCCUCCGUGGACGGAAGUCGUGGUGGGAUAGGCGAGGCCGCUUCUUUGUGGACCCUCCGUGGGUGGAGCCCUCCGUGGACUCUCGCAGUCAUUACCCUCCGUGGGUUGAAGUCUCCACUAACAUGGACGUACGAUAGUGCCACCUAUCAGAACCAUGCCAAAAUUCGCCAUGUCAACCUCUUGCGUUUGAUCUCCCUACCUUACUCCUCUACUUUACACUUGCAUGUUUUAGUUUCCGCUGCUAUACUAUUAGAACCGCAUGUGUAGGGUUUACUUGACUUGUUAUAACCGCCCUAGCUGCCUCUCAAGUAAAAUUGGGAAAAGGCAAAAAAAAUUAUCUUCUCAAGUAGUC